AGGUCUUGACAUCCCUCUGACCGGUACAUCUCUGUACCGGUCAGAGGGAUGUCAAGACCUGGUAAGGUUCUUCGCGUUGCUUCGAAUUAAACCACAUACUCCACUGCUUGUGCGGGUCCCCGUCAAUUCCUUUGAGUUUCAGUCUUGCGACCGUACUCCCCAGGCGGAAUGCUUAAUGUGUUAACUUCGGCACCAAGGGUAUCGAAACCCCUAACACCUAGCAUUCAUCGUUUACGGCGUGGACUAC
rnacentral:misc_RNA from 1 species